CAACAAGUUAAAUGAGUCUAAGAGAUACUGAUAAU
rnacentral:guide_RNA from 1 species